GAGUAAUAAAUGACAUUAGUUACAUUUUUGGGUGAUCUAACCCUUUAAUGUUUUCUGAAGAAAUAGUCUCUACUUAACUCAAGAAAACUUGUGUACAUUUUGUUAACUAGCAGAAAAAAAGGCUGCAUAUAGUGCUAAUUUUACCCGAAAACUUGUUUCUGGAAUCUUCUUUCGUCAUGCACUCAAAUGUUUUCAGAGAAGCACUCCGCUAUGAAAUUCUCAGAUCUUUUCCAGGAACCCUCACAAGCACAAGCACCGUCUUCAUUUACGGAGUUAUCCUCGCGAGCACAGACAUCAUUUGCCAUGGCACAGAGUCACGCUGUGACAAAAACGUGCAACUCAAACCACAAACUCAUCUCCCCUUCAUCGACCGUCAAUUCUUACAUCCUCGAGCACAUCACAAAUCCCUCCACUUGAGAUUUCAGCUGCGGUCAAAUCUGCAUUACUCAUCUGAGGAGCAUAUUUACUUGGAGUUCGCAGUGAUUGAGGCCGUCAGCCCCAAAUUAACCUUCUCAUCUUAGAACGCAUCCUCCCCAUGGAGCCGCACUCUGACUGGAGGGGGGGGGUUCAUAUCGAUCAGUGGACUCUUGAGGGGUGGGUGCGUGUAUGUGUACAUAUGUGCAGGUUUCUGCAGAGCUCUGUGGAGGAGCUGGGCGGCAGGUGGUGCUUGGCUGACGGUGAGCCUGCUGGCUUCUCUGUUAGAGUUAUGCCAGCAGUGAGUAUAAGGCCCCUGCAGUCUGUCUGACGAGGCUUGUUAGACGCUGCUUAAAAUAGAGAGAAACAUCUCUACCUGCCACUCAGCUCCUGGCAGAAGGUUACCUGGCGCCCAAAGUGCAGCAAAAAUACAGAGCAAGGGAGGAUCUGGAUUGUUUAUCGGAGUUCUCCCUCAGCACGUUCUUAUUGGAGACAGCCUGCCGAGAUUUCCCCCAGGACGCGGGCCGCUACGCUACAGGGGAGUCGGGGAGGAGAGAGGGCACCGCACCAACCUUCACUUCAUCAUACAACAACACCUCUGACUGGAAAGCUCCCCUGCUAGUUACCUGCUCCUUUUAUUUUGUGCCAUUCCAGCUGAUUUACUCAGCCUUUUUCCUCUUCUAGCAAGCCGCCCGCUAGCAGGUAAUAUAGCACAGAUAUGGCAGAUUAUUCCAAGAUGCGAGAGAGAGAUUCAUCCCAAAACUUGGCUGUAAAAGACACCUUUGCAUUGUACUCAAAUGUGUAAAACAGAUAUGGCGAGAGCUAAUAUCAAUUAGCGUGCAGCAUCAAUUAGCAUGCAAUCUCACAGCACAUUAAGGAGGGUAAUGGCUUGACCCCAAAUUCUGCAGGCUCUAAAACACUUCAGCAAGUCCUUCUACAACUUGCGUGAAAGUCAUUCACGCGCUAUCAGAUCUUUCCAUAAAUGUGACGUAAAAGCAAUAAUUACAUCGGUCCGACUAAAGCGUGAGCAACGCGUUCUGAUAAUAAAAACGUACGGAAUGAUUUUUCACCGUUUUAUAAGAAUUUGAUGUUCAUUUUUUGGACUGUAGUAAAGUCAGAGAGGCACUCGAAACCACUCGAGAUAACUAUGAAUUAACAGUGUCAAUGGUGUGACUCAUUCCUUCUCCAGAUGUGAUAAAGGCGUGUAUGAGGGUGUGAAACAGGCGAAGACGCUGCGAACGCACCUCACUUUGAUUUUCCAAUAAUAUUGUCCAUAUUCAUAUUACCUGGUCUGUGGUCAAUAAGAUACUCCAUACUGCGUAUGAAGACCAAGGAUGGACUAUGGAGCUGGCCAAUGGACCAUCUGCCCUUAACGGAGAGGUUAGCAGAGGAUGGACACCUGGAAACAAGCCACUGCAUGUUUAAAAUUGAUAUAUAGCCAUACAGCCAGAGCCACAACGUGAAAUAAACAAAGAAAUGAUCUAA